AUUGAACGCUGGCGGCAUGCCUUACACAUGCAAGUCGAACGGUAACGCGGGGCAACCUGGCGACGAGUGGCGAACGGGUGAGUAAUGCAUCGGAACGUGCCCAGUAGUGGGGGAUAACUGCUCGAAAGAGCAGCUAAUACCGCAUACGACCUGAGGGUGAAAGCGGGGGAUCGCAAGACCUCGCGCUAUUGGAGCGGCCGAUGUCAGAUUAGGUAGUUGGUGGGGUAAAGGCCCACCAAGCCAACGAUCUGUAGCUGGUCUGAGAGGACGACCAGCCACACUGGGACUGAGACACGGCCCAGACUCCUACGGGAGGCAGUAGUGGGGAAUUUUGGACAAUGGACGCAAGUCUGAUCCAGCCAUGCCGCGUGCGGGAAGAAGGCCUUCGGGUUGUAAACCGCUUUUGUCAGGGAAGAAACGCUCUGGGUUAAUACCUCGGGGUAAUGACGGUACCUGAAGAAUAAGCACCGGCUAACUACGUGCCAGCAGCCGCGGUAACAC
rnacentral:rRNA from 1 species